rnacentral:SRP_RNA from 1 species
UCGUGCUAGGUGGGGCGCUAGCGGUGCCCUGAAUAUCGAUUUUAUCGGUGUGACCCGCAAUCCGCUAUAGCGGGACCGAACGCUCCGCCGAGGGUUAUGUGCGUUAAGAUAACCUGUUUGGCUGAUGGUGUUGAAGGUUGGGUCCUCUGCAACGCCGCACCGUGAACCUGGUCAGGUCCGGAAGGAAGCAGCCAUAAGCGUUUCGCGGCGUGUGCCGGAGGAUCGCCUGACUGGAGCCAUUUGGUCGGGCGGGCCUUGGUGCACAUGUUCGAAGCGGAGCACGC